CAGCCCGGUCCAAAUGCGGGAUAAACGGACGAGGGACGCCGAGCAUAUGAUAAUAUAAUAUUAUAUAUGUUAUGUCCGUAACAGCAGCAGCAGUAGAAGAUACCGGCCACCGCCUCGAAAGAACCGUAUAGGUUGUUUAUACAGGGCGUAUCUCGAAUAAGAGUUCGAUAUUAUGUGAUUGGUCGAUAUUCGAUAUAAUCAUCAAAAGUCAAUGCAUUCAUUAUUAUAUCGUUGGCCUAAUUCCCGACAGUCGUAACCACAAAAAUAUGAUUUCGUGUUUAUGCAUGAUAUAUCCAAU